UGGUAACAAAGUAAGUGCGCUAUUUCUCGUAGGAGCUUCGGUAUGGUUUGCGCUGUUGGGACAUUCUCAAGAAAAUAACAUACAUUUUCUUGACAUGGGUGUACGGGUGGAGAGGUGCGAGUUGAAAACGGCGGUAUGUCGUGAACCUUCCUACCAGCCGGUACUGGUGCCGUAUUGGUCCCCUGACCCUGCAUCAUAUAAAGCAGCUGCAUUCCGCUUCUAUUUUAAACGAGCAUACGAGUACAUCACAGACAGCAAUCAAUUGCAGGACAAACUUAAAUACAUCUAUGCCACCGGAUAUGCACACGGAUACAGUAAGCACUACACUGAUAGAAUCCACCACCG
rnacentral:lncRNA from 1 species